rnacentral:siRNA from 1 species
GAAAUAUUUUCUUCUUCCGGUUC